CACACCUCUGGGACAUCGAUUGGAAAACUCAAGAAAAUGUCAACAAUGUAGUUCUGUUUACAAAGCACGAAAAAAUGGAACUAAAUGUGAAGAAAUGCAAAGAAAUGAUUCUCGAUCUCAGGAAGAAUAAAACAACCAUCCCACCAAUUAAUGUUGACGACCAACCUAUUGCUCGGGUAAAUUCAUAUAAAUUACUAGGAAU